rnacentral:rRNA from 1 species
UGGGGAAUAUUGGACAAUGGGGGAAACCCUGAUCCAGCAAUGCCGCGUGAAUGAAGAAGGCCUUAGGGUUGUAAAGUUCUUUCACCUGUGAAGAUAAUGACGGUAGCAGGAGAAGAAGCCCCGGCAAACUCCGUGCCAGCAGCCGCGGUAAGACGGAGGGGGCUAGCGUUGUUCGGAAUGACUGGGCGUAAAGGGCGCGUAGGCGGUGUCUUAAGUGAGGCGUGAAAGCCCCGGGCUUAACCCGGGAGGUGCGUUUCAUACUGAGAUGCUAGAGUGCGAGAGAGGAAAGUGGAAUUCCUAGUGUAGAGGUGAAAUUCGUAGAUAUUAGGAAGAACACCAGAGGCGAAGGCGGCUUUCUGGCUCGUAACUGACGCUGAGGCGCGAAAGCGUGGGGAGCAAACAGG